AACGAACGCUGGCGGCAGGCUUAACACAUGCAAGUCGAACGCCCCUUUCGGGGGGAGUGGCAGACGGGUGAGUAACGCGUGGGAACGUGCCCUUCAGUUCGGAAUAACCCAGGGAAACUUGGGCUAAUACCGGAUACGUGCGAGAGCAGAAAGAUUUAUCGCUGAAGGAUCGGCCCGCGUCUGAUUAGCUAGUUGGUGAGGUAAUGGCUCACCAAGGCGACGAUCAGUAGCUGGUCUGAGAGGAUGAUCAGCCACAUUGGGACUGAGACACGGCCCAAACUCCUACGGGAGGCAGCAGUGGGGAAUAUUGGACAAUGGGCGCAAGCCUGAUCCAGCCAUGCCGCGUGAGUGAUGACGGCCUUAGGGUUGUAAAGCUCUUUCGUCCGGGACGAUAAUGACGGUACCGGAAGAAGAAGCCCCGGCUAACUUCGUGCCAGCAGCCGCGGUAACAC
rnacentral:rRNA from 1 species